UCCGUACCCAUGUAUGUAGGACCCCAAAGGAUCACCAUUAAAUUUGGUACAGAUCUUAACAAAAGUUAUCACAUGGGUGUGAGACUUGAUUUUUUUAUAGAUUUGUGCCCAAUUUAAUAGUGAUCAUUUGGGGUCCUACACACAUGGGUCUGGG
rnacentral:pre_miRNA from 1 species